rnacentral:lncRNA from 1 species
GGACAAUUAACGAUUAACUAAUAAAUUGACCCUAAUUUAAGAGACACUACCAAAAACAAACGAAAAAAAACUUUUGGAUUUUCAGCUAGACACUUUAACUAAGACUGACACCACCAAUUAUGAAGAAAAAAUCUUUUUGGUAUUUUUGUUUUUGACAAAUAAGUAGAAAAGGCAAACAAAAUUUUUUUUUUUUUGAAUUUACGAUACUUUGGAGUGACAAAUGCAAAACGUAAAAAAAUCUUUUUGAGUUUUUGGAUCGUGAAGAACAAAAGCCAUAAAGAAUUCUAAAAUAAAC